AUUUUGAGCAUUGCAAUCAAAAGUUUAUGCACAAGCAUACCAAAAUCAAAAUAUGAGACAACUAAAUCAAAAAUUGCUGCUCUUAGAACAUGAACUUUGGGAGAUGAAAGCUGAAAUGUUAAAAGGAAAAAGGUCGAAUAAGGAACCAAGCGAAGAUGCAACGGGCAAGAAAAAUUCUCAUGGAGAAACCCAGGAGCCAAGCAAAGGGGCAAAUGGACACUCACAUGGAGAAACCUAGGUAAACUUGCACAUUUCUCAUGCUUGUGCUUUUGCUUGCUUGCUUUUCUACUCAAGCUUGUCAUUUUGCAUAUGGAUUACAUUAAGAUUCUAAAUUUAAGUUAAAAAAUGCUUCUUGCCAUUGUAUUACAAUUUUUUUAUGGUGAGGAAAACGGUAGAGGUGAACAUAGGGUGCAUGGAGGUGAUGAACGUAGGAUGCACUCACAGCAAAAUAUUUGGGUAAAUUUUGUAUGGUAUUAUUAAUUUACUCAUUUUCAUUUUUCUCGUGUUUCUGCUUUUGUUUGCUUGCUUGCUUUUCUACUCAAGAGUUUUUGUCAAAUUUUCAUUUGCAUCCCACGUCGUUUACUAAAUUUGGAAAAACAAAUAUAACUUGAUAUUGUAUUACAUUUUUUUUAAGGUGACAAAAUUAAUGAAGACAAUGAAGAUAUUUGGUUGCAUGACGCAAAUGAAACUAGAAAUGGUGGAUCCUUGGACAAUGCCAAAUGCAAAUUGUUGAAUUGGGAUGGAACAAAGGUGAUGGUUGCGGAAGGCACAAUUGCAUCAACAGAUUCUAAAGUAUUGGUACAUCAUGUGCCCCUUGGCCCUAGGUGUUAGAAAGUAUGGGUUAACCAUGUCAUAGUCAAUGCGCCAUUGUUUCACCCUAAUCGUGAGAUGUUUGUGCUUGAGGAUGCUAUUGGAAACACUGUUGCUUGGCCAACCUAUUUCAUUAGCUUUGAUUUUGAGUAGAACUAACAUCUAUGGAUAGUUUUGGGGGACUUUGAUGAAUAGAUUUCUAUAAUUUUUGAAUAGUUUUGGGUAAUGUUUACAAACUUAUAUAUGUACAGUUUUGGAUGGUUUAUAACUUUUUGGAUAAUUUAGAACUUAAGGAUUGUCAUUUUGGAUGUUUUCGAACUUGCAGUUAGGUUUUGGUUGUGUGGAAUUUAUAUAUUGACAAUUUUUGAAUGUUUAUAAUUUAUAGAUAUAGUUUAUUUUU